AAUAACCAUUUUAUAGUGGUUAGUCCACCAAUUUAAGGAGUAUUAUGAAGUUUUACUAAAUUAAUUGACAAAAAAAUUAAAACGAUGUCCAUGUACCAAAAAAUAUAGUUUAAUAUACAUUUGUAGAAUGUGAUCUCUCCAAGAUAGAAGAAGAUGAUAUCACUAAGAUCGAAGAUUUUCUCGGUAAGGCCAUCCCAAAUUGUUUUGUUUGUUUGUUUGAAAUUUUAUCUGUCACAGUAAAAUAAUAAUAAUAGAUGCAUCACUGAAACUCUUUUGCAUUGCUUAGAGCCUAUCACACCCGACAAUGGGACUAGGACAGUCAUCUUCUGGGACGCCGUGGAUUGCCCAUUCCCUCUUUCUUUCUCUCCUGAUCAGAUCUAUCAAUCUAUCCAAUCAGCUCUUGUUAAAAUGGGUUCUAGUGAUAAGAUUACAAUUCGGGCUUAUGUCAAUGAUACCAAGAAAACGUCUAAAAAGACGUGGGAUUCAAGAAUCUACUUUCUUCCCGGAGGUGAUUUCCAAACUUUUUCUUUAUAUCUACUGUGUAGUCUUUUAUACUCUCACUUCCAUUUGAUAAUAUAUUUCUUUCUUUUUUCCAGGGGAUAAAGCAUCAAGACGUGUUAGAAUGUUGAAUAACAUUUUUCUAUUGCUAAAGGACUCUCCUUAUUUGAACAGGCCUUAUGAAGCAAGUUUGGUCCUAGUCUCAGAUCAAUUCAAACAUGACGCUUACUACAUCGAGAUGCUUCGAAAUUUGAAGCUCAUACAUUACUAUGUUAUCUUAGUAACUCCGACUGAGGACAUCAACAAGCCAGAAAGCCCUGAAUGGCCAGGAUUGCUAAUAGAUAUAGGAGGAUGGUGCCCUUUUAAUGAUGAAACAAGCGAACCUUGUUCCAAAAAGUAUAAAGGCGGCUGAAGAAACGCCUUAGGGUCGUCGGAUUAUUACUAUCUUUUAUCUUUUUUUGUCUUAUGUGCUUCCUUUAGUUUGGCUUAGUGUUUUGAAUUUCGUUAUGCUUGUGCUUCAAUGUGUGUGGUGUUAUAACCCCCUGUGAUGCACCACUUACGUAUGUUCGCUAUAUGUGCGAGGAACAAAAAAAAAUAUUUGGUUUGUUACCUUUUUAAUUUUAUAGAUAUACAUAAUGCAACAUCUUCUAUAGAGAUAGGGGCUGAUCAUGCUAUGCCUUUAUUGUAUCAUCCACAUAUGAUUCACGUAUAUAUUGCUUUUGUUAAAAUCAUACAUCUACAUUUCUUUUUGGUAAAUAUGAACGUGAAUCACAUGAUACAUGAAGAAAUACAUGAUUUUAUUAAAGAGAUACCAUUAUACCAAUCGUUCACGUGGGUUUGGGUUUAUCACUUUCGCUGAUCGCCUGGCUAUGGAUGAGUCCAUCAGAGAGAUGCAUGGAAAAGACUUUGGUGAUCGGGUCAUCUCAGUGAACAGAGCUGAACUAAAAAUGGGGCGAGAUGAUGGGAAAGUCACGGCUCUAGAGUUGGUGGCAGAGACAGUGUGGCUAUUCAUUUGCUGGCAAGGGAAGCUUUGGUGGCCAUGUUGACUUGACUGUUAUACCGACCGUGACCGAUAUGUGGACCGUGAACGUUACAUAGAUGACGUUAUGAUGGUGGUAGAGACAGGUUUGACAGCAGAGAAGCCUACUUCCCCCGCUGAUCGGUUUGCAGGCGGUGAUAGAUACAGCCGUGGACCAGAUUGUUACACUCCAGCGAGUUAUGACAAGCCCCGGUCCUUUGAGAGAGACAUAGUCUCAAGUGCAGGCAGUGACAGGUACGGCGGUGGUAGAGCUGGUGUACACAUACGUGGAGGAGACGAGGGAAGAGGGUUUAGAAGCAGAGCCGGUGGUCCUUAUGAGAGGCCGAGCAGAAGCGUUGGUGGUGGUGGUCAUAUGUCGUCAGCUACUUUUGACCGUUACUAAGGCAUACAUGAAAAGUUAUUUACUCUCACUUGUGUGUAUGUGUUAUUUAAUAUUUUCUGCUGCAGUAACAAAAUUAUUUCUAAAUAAAACCAUUCGCUACUGACCAUAUAGACAACGACCGUCUCAGAAGGUUAUCGAGCUUUUCUAAUUUUAAUCUUCUUUAAAUUUGGCUUUCUACAUUUAGCAUAAAUCGAUAUAAAGAAGAGAAAACAGAUUUUAACGCAUAACCUCCAAGAAAUUAUAUACGAAAACUUGUAUAAAUACAUCAAAUGUGAGUUUAACAUUUUCAAAAAACUGAACACAAAAAUAAAAUAAAAAUGAAACUUUUCAUAAUUGCUCUUAUUGUUUUAGGGGUUUGUGUUGAAGAUACGUUUGGGAAAAAUUCAUUUGGGAUCGUAAACAAGUUUCGAAGGCAUACAAAGCUCAGUGUCCGUUGCUGGUCCGGAAACGACAAGUUUGGGACUAUAUUCUUAAUGAAUGGGCAAGAAAAACAUUGGAGAUUCGACGAUGCGUUUUUUCAUGAGACAGUCUUUCAUUGUGAGUUAAAGCAUGGAUAUCACUUCAUGCAUUUCCAAACCUUCGUAGCUUAUACGUCAAAAUGGAAUGACUCACUCAAGAAUAGAUCUAACGCGACAUGGUUAGCCGCAGAGAAAGGUCUCUACAAAAUAUGGGAACAUAGGUCUCCUGAAUUUAUGUAUCAUUGGUUAUAAACCAGUUGUCUAAUAUUUAGCCUGUUGCAAUUUAAUAUUCGAGAAUAUUUUAUGUAUAUAUAAUAUUUGAGACACGAAAGAUGUCCUCGCAUAUAUGAUCGUACAAAUGUUUCAUAAUCUAAUUAAGUUGUAUAUUUGAAAGCCAUAUAUGUUGUUUUUUAAUAUAUACAAAUGUAUAGUUGAUAUUAGUUGGUCAGUUAUACUCUGUAAUAUUAUUUAAAUCUAUUAACUCAAAAUAAUAUUCUGGAUUUAUUUAUUGUUAUGAUUAUUUAUGGGCUUAAUAAUGAUUUUGUUUAAUCUGAAACCAUAUAUGCAAUAUAUUUAUUUUUGAUGACAUUGCAAUUAAUGCCAUAUCAAUUUAAUGUAAUUUAAUGAUUCUUUACGUAUACGUAUACAUAUAACAUUUUCAAAGAAGUUAUUCAG